GUACUUCUUACAAUUGCGAUGGGGGGACGGAGAAGGCUAGGUGGGCCUGGCGACGGUUGUCCAGGUUCAAGUACGUAGGCGGGUGGUUUAGGUAAAUCCGGACCGCUAUUAACGCUGAGAUACGAUGUCGAGCUACUACGGUAGUGAAGUCAUUGAUGCCAUGCUUCCAGGAAAAGCCUCUAAGCUUCAGAUUGUAAGGAAUCGUACCCCAAACCGACACAGGUGGUCGGGUAGAGAAUACCAAGGCGCUUGAGAGAACUCGGGUGAAGGAACUAGGCAAAAUGGUACCGUAACUUCGGGAGAAGGUACGCUCUUAUCAGUGAAGUCCCUUGCGGAUGGAGCAGACGAGAGUCGCAGAUACCAGGUGGCUGCAACUGUUUAUUAAAAACACAGCACUGUGCAAAAUCGUAAGAUGACGUAUACGGUGUGACGCCUGCCCGGUGCCGGAAGGUUAAUUGAUGGGGUUAGACUUCGGUCGAAGCUCUUGAUCGAAGCCCCGGUAAACGGCGGCCGUAACUAUAACGGUCCUAAGGUAGCGAAAUUCCUUGUCGGGUAAGUUCCGACCUGCACGAAUGGCGUAAUGAUGGCCACGCUGUCUCCACCCGAGACUCAGUGAAAUUGAAAUCGCUGUGAAGAUGCAGUGUACCCGCGGCUAGACGGAAAGACCCCGUGAACCUUUACUACAGCUUGGCACUGAACAUUGAACCUACAUGUGUAGGAUAGGUGGGAGACUUUGAAACCGCGUCGCUAGAUGUGGUGGAGUCGUCCUUGAAAUACCACCCU
rnacentral:rRNA from 1 species